rnacentral:misc_RNA from 1 species
CAAGAAGAGACCCUAACCGGUCCUCUCAACCCUGCCCAUCGUACCUUUUUUGUUGUUCCCUCGGCGGUGCUCGCGGGCCCGCCGGCGGGAAGACCAAACAAACCCUUUGCAAACAAGCAUAUCGAAAUCUCUGAUCAAACAUGAAUUGUCA